rnacentral:rRNA from 1 species
UGGCUCAGGACGAACGCUGGCGGCAUGCCUAACACAUGCAAGUCGAACGAGAAAGUUCCUUCGGGAGCAAUUAAAGUGGCGCACGGGUGAGUAACGCGUAGACAAUCUGCCCUUCAGUCUGGGACAACUUUUCGAAAGGAGAGCUAAUACCGGAUAACAAUGCAUGACACAAGUUGUAUAUUUGAAAGCUUUAUGUGCUGAAGGAGGGGUCUGCGUCCCAUUAGCUAGUUGGUAAGGUAAAGGCUUACCAAGGCAACGAUGGGUAGCGGGUUUGAGAGGACGAUCCGCCACACUGGAACUGAGACACGGUCCAGACUCCUACGGGAGGCAGCAGUGGGGAAUAUUGCACAAUGGAGGAAACUCUGAUGCAGCAAUGUCGCGUGAGUGAAGAAGGCCCUUGGGUCGUAAAGCUCUUUUAUGGGGGAAGAUGAUGACGGUACCCCAAGAAUAAGCACCGGCUAACUAUGUGCCAGCAGCCGCGGUAAUACAUAGGGUGCGAGCGUUGUUCGGAAUUACUGGGCGUAAAGGGCGCGCAGGCGGAAUAG